AGGUUUACGGUGGAUUCCUAGGCACCUAGAGACGAGGAAUGGCACAGUAAGCAACAAAAUGCUUCGAGGAAUUGAAAAUAGGCGUCGAUCCAGAGAUUCUCAAAUAGGUCAACCUUUCGGACUGCUAUUGAAUCCAUGGACAGGCAAGAGACAACCUGGCAAACUAAAACAUCUUAAUAGCCAAAGGAAAGGAAAGCAAAAGCGAUUCCCGUAGUAAAUGCGAGCAAAAUGGGAGCAACCUAAACAGUAAAAACGGGGUUGUUGGAAAGUAAUACAAGUGUCGUGUUGCUAGGCGAAGCGAUGGAAUGUUGCACCCUAGAUGGUGAGAGUCCAAUAGCCGAAAGCAUCACUAGCUUACGCUCUGACUCGAGUAGCACGGGGCACGUGGAAUCCCGUGUGAAGCAGUAAGGACCACCUUGUAAGGCUAAAUACUCCUGAGUGACUGAUAGCGAAGUAGUACCUUGAGGGAAGGGUGAAAAGAACUUCCCAAAAUAUAAAAUAAAUAUAUUUGCUUUAAAUCU
rnacentral:ncRNA from 1 species